rnacentral:rRNA from 1 species
UAAACAUAGACAGUUCACAUACCCCACUGUCCGCCCGGGAACUACGAGCAUCAGCUUAAAACCCAAAGGACUUGGCGGUGCUUUAAACCCACCUAGAGGAGCCUGUUCUAGAACCGAUAAUCCCCGUUCAACCUCACCCCUCCUUGUUCUCUCCGCCUAUAUACCACCGUCGUCAGUUUACCCUAUGAAGGUCAAACAGUAAGCACAAUCGGCAUAGCCCAAAACGUCAGGUCGAGGUGUAGCGUAUGGAGGGGGAAGAAAUGGGCUACAUUCCCUAAUACUAGGGCAUACGGAUUGUAUGCUGAAACGCAUAUCUGAAGGAGGAUUUAGCAGUAAGCAGGAAAUAGAGUGUCCCGCUGAAAGUGGC